GGGCCCGUAGCUCAGCUGGUCAGAGCAGCGGACUCAUAAUCCGUUGGUCGGUGGUUCGAGUCCACCCGGGCCCA
rnacentral:tRNA from 1 species